AGUGAACGCUGGCGGUAGGCCUAACACAUGCAAGUCGAACGGCAGCACAGUAAGAGCUUGCUCUUACGGGUGGCGAGUGGCGGACGGGUGAGGAAUACAUCGGAAUCUACUUUUUCGUGGGGGAUAACGUAGGGAAACUUACGCUAAUACCGCAUACGACCUACGGGUGAAAGCAGGGGAUCUUCGGACCUUGCGCGAUUGAAUGAGCCGAUGUCGGAUUAGCUAGUUGGCGGGGUAAAGGCCCACCAAGGCGACGAUCCGUAGCUGGUCUGAGAGGAUGAUCGGCCACACUGGAACUGAGACACGGUCCAGACUCCUACGGGAGGCAGCAGUGGGGAAUAUUGGACAAUGGGCGCAAGCCUGAUCCAGCCAUACCGCGUGGGUGAAGAAGGCCUUCGGGUUGUAAAGCCCUUUUGUCGGGAAAGAAAAGCAGCAGGUUAAUACCCCGCUGUUCUGACGGUACCCAAAGAAUAAGCACCGGCUAACUUCGUG
rnacentral:rRNA from 1 species